CGAACGCUGGCGGCGUGCCUAACACAUGCAAGUCGGACGAGAAAGCUCUUCGGAGUGAGUAGAGUGGCGAACGGGUGAGUAAUGCAUAGGAACGUACCAACAAGUGGGGAAUAACAGUUGGAAACGACUGCUAAUACCGCAUGUGGAGUUAUCUAAAGGUGGCCUCUUCUUGAAAGCUACCGCUUGUUGAGCGGCCUAUGUCCCAUUAGCUAGUUGGUAAGGUAAUGGCUUACCAAGGCGACGAUGGGUAGCUGGUCUGAGAGGAUGAUCAGCCACACUGGGACUGAGACACGGCCCAGACUCCUACGGGAGGCAGCAGUGGGGAAUAUUGCACAAUGGGCGCAAGCCUGAUGCAGCAACGCCGCGUGAGUGAAGAAGGCCCUUGGGUCGUAAAGCUCUUUCGGUUGAGAAGAAGGGUUUGGAUGCGAAUAGUUUCCAAACUUGACGGUACCAGCAUAAGAAGCACUGGCUAAUUCC
rnacentral:rRNA from 1 species